GAUGAACGCUGGCGGCGUGCCUAAUACAUGCAAGUCGAGCGAACAGAUGAGGAGCUUGCUCCUCUGACGUUAGCGGCGGACGGGUGAGUAACACGUGGAUAACCUACCUAUAAGACUGGGAUAACUUCGGGAAACCGGAGCUAAUACCGGAUAAUAUAUUGAACCGCAGGGUUCAAUAGUGAAAGACGGUUUUGCUGUCACUUAGAGAUGGAUCCGCGCCGCAUUAGCUAGUUGGUAAGGGAACGGCUUACCAAGGCAACGAUGCGUAGCCGAGCUGAGAGGGUGAUCGGCCACACUGGAACUGAGACACGGUCCAGACUCCUACGGGAGGCAGCAGUAGGGAAUCUUCCGCAAUGGGCGAAAGCCUGACGGAGCAACGCCGCGUGAGUGAUGAAGGUCUUCGGAUCGUAAAGCUCUGUUAUUAGGGAAGAACAAAUGUGUAAGUAACUAUGCACGUCUUGACGGUACCUAAUCAGAAAGCCACGGCUAACUACGUG
rnacentral:rRNA from 1 species